ACCCAGAAAUUUCAGAGGUAGAGAGAGAGAGGAGAGAUAGAGAAAGAAACCAAAUUUUGACCACAAUCUAAGCCCCGAAUCGCGAAGCUCCUGAAGAGAAAAGUGUUGUACGUCGCGUUGCCUUCAAUUUGAGCUAAAAAUCAGUCAAGAAAGAGAGGGUGGAAGUGGUUGCUGCAUAAUUAAGGUAACGACGUGACAUUGGGGAAGAGCAAGUGAACGAUAACAUAGCUAAACGACAAAGGUAGACAGGAAGGUGAGCUUGGUCCAGACCCUUAGUAGCUGUCAACUGAUUGAGAGCACUCCAUUGUCCAGAGGUGCUUAUGGUUCUUCUUUUGGUAUAUAUGCAUAUUUUGGGCAUGACGGAGUCUUGUUCCGUCUAUAUGUUUAGUAUGUCAGUAGAGACUCGUAGAUACGCAGUGUGGGUCAGAUGGUCUCGCAAGAUGUUAUUAUUAUGUAUAUAUUAUUUUGAUGGCCGAGAGGCAAAUGUAUAUAAGUAUUUAUGUUUCUAUAUAAAAUAUGAUUUUUCCUACAAUUCGUG